GCAAGUCGAGGGGUAACAGGAGUGCUUGCACUCGCUGACGACCGGCGAACGGGUGCGUAACGCGUAUAGAAUCUGCCUUGUACAGGAGGAUAGCCUUUAGAAAUGAAGAUUAAUACUCCAUAAUAUUGGGAAGUGGCAUCACUAUCUAAUUAAACAUUUAUGGGUACAAGAUGACUAUGCGUCCUAUUAGCUAGAUGGUAAGGUAACGGCUUACCAUGGCAACGAUAGGUAGGGGGUCUGAGAGGAUUAUC
rnacentral:rRNA from 1 species